UGGGGAAUUUUGGACAAUGGGCGAAAGCCUGAUCCAGCAAUGCCGCGUGUGUGAAGAAGGCCUUCGGGUUGUAAAGCACUUUUGUCCGGAAAGAAAUCCUUGGCUCUAAUACAGUCGGGGGAUGACGGUACCGGAAGAAUAAGCACCGGCUAACUACGUGCCAGCAGCCGCGGUAAUACGUAGGGUGCAAGCGUUAAUCGGAAUUACUGGGCGUAAAGCGUGCGCAGGCGGUUUGCUAAGACCGAUGUGAAAUCCCCGGGCUCAACCUGGGAACUGCAUUGGUGACUGGCAGGCUAGAGUAUGGCAGAGGGGGGUAGAAUUCCACGUGUAGCAGUGAAAUGCGUAGAGAUGUGGAGGAAUACCGAUGGCGAAGGCAGCCCCCUGGGCCAAUACUGACGCUCAUGCACGAAAGCGUGGGGAGCAAACAGGAUUAGAUACCCUGGUAGUCCACGCCCUAAAACGAUGUCAACUAGUUGUUGGGGAUUCAUUUCCUUAGUAACGUAGCUAACGCGUGAAGUUGACCGCCUGGGGAGUACGGUCGCAAGAUUAAAACUCAAAUGAAUUGACGGGGUCAUAGCU
rnacentral:rRNA from 1 species